rnacentral:rRNA from 1 species
UACGGGGGGGGCAAGCGUUGUUCGGAAUUACUGGGCGUAAAGGGCUCGUAGGCGGCCAACUAAGUCGGAUGUGAAAUCCCCAGGCUUAACCUGGGAACUGCAUCCGAUACUGGAUGGCUUGAAUCCGGGAGAGGGAUGCGGAAUUCCAGGUGUAGCGGUGAAAUGCGUAGAUAUCUGGAGGAACGCCGGUGGCGAAGGCGGCAUCCUGGACCGGCAUUGACGCUGAGGAGCGAAAGCCAGGGGAGCAAACGGG